rnacentral:rRNA from 1 species
UACGUAGGGGGCGAGCGUUUUCCGGAUUUAUUGGGCGUAAAAGGCUUGUAGGUGGCCACGGCAAGUCGGAUGUGAAAUCUCCCGGCUCAACUGGGAGGGGUCAUUCGAUACUGCCGGGCUCGAGGCCGGUAGGGGGAAGCGGAAUUCCCGGUGUAGUGGUGGAAUGCGUAGAUAUCGGGAGGAACACCAGAGGCGAAGGCGGCUUCCUGGACCGGUCCUGACACUGAGGAGCGAAAGCGUGGGGAGCGAUCCGG